ACUUUGGUUUCCCCGUUAGUAGCGCAUGCGCAGCAUACGACUGCCGCCAGCUUUGUCUCCCGAACACCUCGUUCACCAUUUCUUCCUCCGGAGUCGGAAAGGCGCGCUUCUUUGGGCUCUUGAGAAGGUGGUCCGGAAGCUGGCGACCAAGGAACAAGACAAAUUCAUAGGAAAAAUGGAAAAGCAAAAGUUCUGAUGUUUUGCUUUUGAUUUCACCAGCUCCAGGUGUUUUCUUUUUAGAAAGGUUCUCUGGCUGAGGCCCUGCAAAUUAGACUGAUGAAAGACAGACUAACAAGAGAAAAACAAAUCCCAGGGAGAUUAACACUUCAAGACAUCUCUUAUCUUGGACAUAUUCUGAUGUCCUCAAAAGAAAAUGUGACUGCAUCCAAAUGCUAGGAUGGCUCCCCAGUUGUGCAUUGUGACAUUGUGCCAACAUCAGAGAUGGAUACUACUGCAGAGUGGAGAGGUUCUGAGAAGCAGAAGCAUGUAGAAGUUUCUUUACAUUCUUUCCUCGGGCUACUUUGUUAAAGCGCAUUUCAAAAUAAGGUUUGACAUUAGCUGCAAUGGAACACCACCUCAAAGCCUGUCCUCUUUGAACUCUCCUGCUUGGGCCUCAGCUGCUGCAGCAAGGAAGCCUAGAUAAGGCCAUAUGGAGGAGAACUGAAACCUUUGGGCAACAGCCCCAGCUGAACUUCCAGUUGGCAUCUGCUACCAGCUGUCAGCUUUGGGAGUGAGGUCGUUUGGACCUUUCUUCUGUACAUCACAGAAUGGGAGUCCUUUUCCAGAUGUACUCCAUGUGUGAGGUUUGGAAAAAACACAUAUUAGUUGAUAAUAUUGCAGUGUGAUGGAAAAAGAAUGGCAAAUAAGAUCUAGCAGAGAAGAAUGCCAAUAGGAUCCCUGUGAGGUGGGCAUUCCGGACAGCAAGAGGGAUGGAUGUUCCAAGAGUGGGCAAGCUUGAGGUGAGCAAAAAAGACACCUAUUAUGAUGAAGUCAUAGGUAUUGAGCUGGAAAUAAAUAAGGACAGGUGGCUAGGUCCGAAGACUAAAUAGAGAUUUCUUGUGGCAGAAAGGUGAAUACCCAAUACUUGUUAGAGGUGAUUGGUUUAGAAAGGGUUUUACCUUAUCCAGAUACUUGAAGAACCAUUAUACAGGGGGCAAAGAAAAGAAUGCCUAACAACACUAUUACUAAAUUAUACUUGAAUUUAAAAAUAAAGCCUCUUUCAUUCUUAAAAGUA